UCUCCUUCGUUGUGCCUUAUUCAUAUUCACGGGUCACUGCUCCAUGGUGAAAAACCCUAGCGCUGCCCUCCUCCAGGCCAUGCAUCCUCAGCUUUGAAGUUCUAUAAUGGAUGGCUUUGGGGUGUACGUGGAGCUUGGAUUGGACGCAAGGUCUCCCACACGGUACUGCACUCCGGCCCUCUCCUAUCGUCAACGAGAGGGAUCCUGGAUCGGUUCAGUCCAAGGGUAGCUAGAUUUCGAACGACGGGAACACAUGGACAUACUACAGGUCUGCAGCCUAGGCUAAUCGAUUUCCUCCGCCGACGCCAACAUGCAUGAUCACUAAACGUUGGCUGCACCCAUGCCACGGCCUCCGAUGUGCUCGCUGUGCACUGCAAGUGGUCAUGCAAAUUCAGAUAAGGUCUUCGUUUUCUCACCUUCCGUUCCUUUGUGUGACCUCCAUUGCCAUGUAUAAAUUGCCAGUUGCAUGUAUAGGAUAGAUAUCUACACUAGGGUGCAAAAGAAGUACGUGUAGUAUGAUCAAUCUGUCUAAAUUUUGGUAUUAUAAGAAUUAGGGUCUGUUAUAAAGUCAUAUCAAUUUUCAUCAUCUUUGCUCUAUCUAAGGACAUGCAUCGUGCCAGCCAUCAGACUCUCCCGGAAAGCAAAAUUAAUGGCAGGCUUUACCUAUGGCCGUACACACCUGGAUCCAUACAUCAAUCAGGGCUUUAUCACACAUGUUCGCGAUUGCUGCACCAUGUUGCACAAUGCGCCUCCCUCAAUUGGCAAGUCCCCAAUGGCGACAGUAUGGUGCAGCCGUGCAACAAGUCAGACCCAUCCAAGGACAUGAGCACAAAGUGCUAACAUAAAGCCUGGGCUGGCGGCAAAUGAGUAGGGCGGACAUGAAAGAAUACCAAAGUAUACUUGGGAGCGACGUCAGGGUAGCAAUAAUUUCUAUAUGGCGCCGAGCACUGGACAGUAGCCCUCCACAGCUGAAACCGUGCACUUACCUUUUUAGUUUAUCAGAACAAUGACGCUCUUUUGCUUCCAAUGGAUUUUGGCCUGAUGCAAACAUACAGGAAAUGGAAUCAGCUCAGAAAAUUCUCAUGUUGAGGAGCUAUAUAUAAAUAGGUACAUGCACGAUUCUGUUUUGUGUUGGAAGGCAAACAGACUGCAGGCUUGAGCGUACUGAAAUAUUAAGAAGGGCAAUCUUGAUUCAUCUAAUGUGGCCACAUUUAGUUUAGCUAUGCCUUCUCAUAACACGUGGAACAAACGCCGAAGGGUUGCACCUUUGAUAUGUCUCUCCCCCAAAAGGGUGAAGGGUCCAGCUUGGAAGGGCGACCAAGUGGUUCUGCCCGAGCUCGACGAGUCCAACCUGGCCACGACGAUGCACCGCUCCCAGCAGCAGGCACCCGACUCCAUGGACGAGGAGGAUGACCGGGACCCAAGCCCAAGCUGACGAGCAAGACGAGGACAUCAUCAAGUUAGGGGACCCUGACCUCGACUCCCCACACAAGAUCUUGGCUCUGCCCCUCUCGACUACCGCUCAUGGCGCAGAUGGGACGGCGACGAUGAUAGGAGGGCGUCGGAUCCGGACGGGAAUUGGGCAUUGUCUUGCUCGAGGAGGAGGAAGGAUGCACCUAGUUGUCGGCCCUGUCCUCCUCGAGGAGGGGCACACCAAGGGGUCUGUUCCUCUGCUUCCAAGGCAAGCAAGGGGUACUACCCGAGCUAGACGAGUCCAGCCUGGCCACGACGCUGCACCGCUCCUAGCAGAUCAAACAGAGUCCAGGACGACUCAUCAUCAAGGGAGGGAGGAUAAUGAACACAUGGGUACAUCAUACAUGACAUUUCAGAAAAGUGCACAAUUUAGCUGGAAAGAAUUACUAAGCCGAAUCAAGCAAACACAUGACUAGGUGAACGCUAACUUAAGUUUAUCUUGUAGCCGUCAUGACACAACCAUGCUUUCAUCCCCAUUUUUGUUGGUUGAACUUAGGUAUCAUAUAGAAGAAAUCCAACAACCUAUGAGCUCUUGAAGAAACCAGAUUGGAGGAACAAGUUUGGAGAAAAAAAGUUUCAAGUGAAGCUGGUGCUGUCAGCUUUUACCUCUGAUGUUUCAUGGUGGCACACCCAUAUGGUGGAGAGACAGGGCCAUAGGGGUACAUCAACAGAAGCUACAUCAAAUUAUAUUUCCAAUGCAAAAAAUCUCACAUCAUUUGGAGUUGUGAGUCAAAAGUACUAGUCAUUCCCGUGGAAGAUGUCCAGGCUGUCAAGACUUCGCGAAUUUCCGAGGAGCUCUCCAACAACUCCCAAAGUUGACAGCUUAUUCACCCAAGGAAGCCAUGCAAACCUGCUUACUUUUGAAACCAUUUUCACACCUAGCUAAGGUGGGUUGUCCCUUCUAUAAAUUCCCACCCCCCCAUCCUCUAGAGAACCUUUUGUCAAACCAUUCAGCUACAAGCUUAUGCAGCAAGACUGCUAGAGAGAUCCGAGAGAUCUUGCUACAUUUGCUCUUGUGAGUUCAUUCGGAUUCGCGAGAAGGAGCCUAUGGUCCCCCCUAGUUCAUGCUCUA